GACGAGGUGGCCGAAAGUGGUUAAGGCGAUGGACUGCUAAUCCAUUGUGCUCUGCACGCGGGUUCAAUCCCAUCCUCGCCG
rnacentral:tRNA from 1 species